CCAUGAUUAUCCGGGUUUCUUAAGAGAGUUUUUAAAGUUAAUGAAGCAUUUAAUUAAAUCAAAAUGAAAUAAAAUAUCUGUUACCGAUCCUUAAUAUAGGAUUGUGGAGACCGAUUAUUAAGAGGGUUUUUAACACACGUGUCAGCUUAUCACUAAAAGUGCAUUUAUUUUUUUCUUUCUCUUUUUUUUUUCUUUUUGUCGUCUCUCUCUUCUCUUGUGGUCUCUGCCGGACGAUGAUGGCAAUAGCUCGGCCAAUACCAGCAGCAGGUCUUCGAUUCGAUCCAACCUCCAGGUGGGUUUAGUUUGAGGAAGAGGAAUCAAUUGAGAGGUUUUGGAAAAGGAAUCAAGUGUUCACUGAAAGUUCAGCAGCAACAGCCUCCUCCACCAUCAAAGUCUUCUCUCUUCGAUUUUUGGAAUGUCGUUGUGGGAUCACAAAACUCAUAACAUGGAUGCAUUGAUGGGCCUAAUCGUAUCACUGUUUGCGUUUGAAAGAAAACCGCCUUCAUCGUAUUGACUCGUGGCUCUUCCUCUCGUGAUUAGUAGUAUCUCAUUGUACCAGAAAUAUCCAUACCUGGACAAGAAGAAGAAGGAGAAGGUCUAACACUCGUGUUCCUUGGCGAUCAAGGCGUUGGUAAAACAAGCAUCAUCACUUCGUGUACGGUAACUUCAACAACAGUUAUCAGGUUCCUAAUCUCUCCAUCUACAUUGAUCGAUUAAAACACGACACACAUGAUAUUGAUACAUACGUAACUGUUGGGUCAAUAUAGUUAGGUGGUUUGACCUUCCAGAUUAUUUUUUAUAUAAUGAUUGAUCGUCUA